AAAGCGUGCGCAGGCGGUUAUGUAAGACAGAGGUGAAAUCCCCGGGCUCAACCUGGGAACUGCCUUUGUGACUGCAUAGCUAGAGUACGGUAGAGGGGGAUGGAAUUCCGCGUGUAGCAGUGAAAUGCGUAGAUAUGUGGAGGAAUACCAAUGGCGAAGGCAGCCCCCUGGGAUAACACUGACGCUCAUGCACGAAAGCGUGGGGAGCAAACAGGAUUAGAUACCCGUGU
rnacentral:rRNA from 1 species